AUGCGGCCAGAGCUCCAGUGCUGGUUUAUAUGGGGAAGUGGACAGAUGGGGUCUUCUGGAUGUGACUACACACAAGUGUUAUUUAAAGACAGAUGGCAAGUUUUGCUUCUGAAUCAACUGGUUUCCUCACAUUAUUCACCUUUGAGAAUGGAGCAGUCCUGCAGUUUUAUUUUAGGUAGCAGUUCUUCACGUUCAGCUAUGGUAUUUCACCUAAUUAGAGACCUGAUUCUGAGGAAAAUGCGGGGAACUGCUACAAAGGAUAAAAUGUGA
rnacentral:lncRNA from 1 species